UACAGAGGGGGCAAGCGUUGUUCGGAAUUACUGGGCGUAAAGGGCGCGUAGGCGGCCUUCUAAGUCGAACGUGAAAUCCCCGGGCUCAACCCGGGAACUGCGUCCGAUACUGGAAGGCUUGAAUCCGGGAGAGGGAUGCGGAAUUCCAGGUGUAGCGGUGAAAUGCGUAGAUACUCGGAAGAACACCAGUGGCGAAGGCGGCUCACUGGACUGGUAUUGACGCUGAGGUGCGAAAGCGUGGGGAGCAAACAGG
rnacentral:rRNA from 1 species